UCUCCGUAGGUGAACCUGCGGAGGGAUCAUUACAGAGUUCUCGCCCUCGCGGGUAGUUCUCCCACCCACUGUUAUCGUUACUGUGUUGCUUUGGCGGGCCGCCGGGCCCCGCUCGGCCGCCGGCUCCGGCUGGCGCGCGCCCGCCAGAGGCCCAGCAAACUCUGAAUGUUAGUGUCGUCUGAGUACUAUAUAAUAGUUAAAACUUUCAACAACGGAUCUCUUGGUUCUG
rnacentral:misc_RNA from 1 species